rnacentral:rRNA from 1 species
UAAACUCCUUUUCUGGAGGACGAAUAAAGGUAGGCAGGCAAUGGUCUAUCCUUGACGGUACUCCAGGAACAAGCACCGGCUAACUUCGUGCCAGCAGCCGCGGUAAAACGAAGGGUGCAAGCGUUAUCCGGAAUCACUGGGCGUAAAGGGCGUCUAGGCGGCCCGUUAAGUCGGCGGUGAAAGUCCUCGGCUCAACUGAGGAAAGUCCGUCGAAACUGACAGGCUAGAGGAACACAGAGGGAGGCGGAACUCUCGGAGUAGCGGUGGAAUGCGCAGAUACCGAGAGGUACCCUGAUGGCGAAGGCAGCCUCCUGGGUGUUUCCUGACGCUGAAGCGCUAAGGCCAGGGGAGCCAAGGGGAUUAGAUACCCCCGUAGUCCUGGCUGCAAACGAUGUGAGCUAGGUAUCGGGCCCAUGAAGAGGCUCGUUGCCGUAGCUAACGCGUUAAGCUCACCGCCUGGGGAUUACGUCCGCAAGGAUGAAACUCAAAGGAAUUGACGG